rnacentral:rRNA from 1 species
CCUACGGGAGGCAGCAGUGAGGAAUAUUGGUCAAUGGACGCAAGUCUGAACCAGCCAUGCCGCGUGCAGGAUGACGGCUCUAUGAGUUGUAAACUGCUUUUGUACGAGGGUAAACCCCGAUACGUGUAUCGGGUUGAAAGUAUCGUACGAAUAAGGAUCGGCUAACUCCGUGCCAGCAGCCGCGGUAAUACGGAGGAUCCGAGCGUUAUCCGGAUUUAUUGGGUUUAAAGGGUGCGUAGGCGGUUUGAUAAGUUAGAGGUGAAAUGUCGGGGCUCAACCCCGAAACUGCCUCUAAUACGGUGGGACGAGAGAAUAGUGGCGGUAGGCGGAAGGUAUGGUGUAUCGGGGAAAUGCUGAGAGAUCAUACAGAACACCGAUUGCGAAGGAAGCUUACCAAACUAUAUCUGACGUGGAGGCACGAAAGCGUGGGUAGCAAACAGGAUUAGAUACCCCUGUAGUC